UAGAAACAAUCUCCCCCAACACACACAUUCAGUCAGUCUCUCUUUCCUUCUUUUCAGAAAUACAAACUUUGCAUAAUUGGUUCUCUUUUGAGAGUGUCCUGUGCAGCACAGCUUUCCUAGUUAUAUAAUGCACUUUUCUUACCACGCAUGUAAGUGAAAGCUUACUUUAGUCUGACUUGAUAUUUAGAGAGGAAGAUGCCAAUUGGGAAGAAGCCUGUCAGUUUGUCGAGCCUGCCCAUGACAGGUGGGGUGCGGAGGAGCUUCUCUGGUGACGAAGAGUUGACUCCUCCUCCAUAUCGAACCCUUCCAGCACAGACAGCCCCGGAGGCCUUCCCACCUCCCAGCACUAGCCGAGAGUUCAGUCCCAGCCUCAAAACAGGUAAUUAGUCACAUCAGCAUCUCAGGUACUUCAGAGGGUAAAAGUACUGGGUAGGGUGGUGGGAGACAAAGCAUGGUCUGGCAUGACAGAUGCUGACUCAUUGAAUUUUUUUUCUUUUUCUUUCAACUAAAGAAUUCAUUUCACUAGUGCUUAGUAGUCACUUCACUAAGACAAAACAUCAGGGAAGGAUUUUUUACUUUGUUAUAAAAUACUUCCGAGCUUCAAAUAAGGGUAGUUAUAAUGUCAAGUUCUGGAAUUGUGAGACAACUUGGAAUAUUUCAUGGUUUUGAACAUUCCUCAUUGCAGAAUUGUAUGUGACUUGACGUGGGAACAAGUGUGUCAUUAGGGAUAAGUCUGAUUAAAAAAACAGAAAAACGAGGCUUUGUUCAUAACAUUUCAUAGUAUCUCAUUCAUGGAAAGGAUGUGUUUUGAGUUCUAGUUUAAUUUUAGUUGUGGCAGUAACAUUGAUCACAAUCUUAGUUGAAUAACAAAUUUGGAAAUUCAAUACCUGCAUUUUAUUAUUUCCAUAAGUUCAUGAUUAUGUAUGUAUAGUGAUUAGUCAGUGGCAUUUGAUUCGAGUGUAAUUGGUUAGGCCAAGGUAGUCGAUUGUAAGGAAGACUGCAGAAGGUUUUGCCCUUUGUAAUUCCUAAGAACAAGCAUGGUAUUAUCAUAGGGCAUGAGAACUUCACUUAGGUAUGAUGAACUUCAGGCAUGAGUACAGAUCAGAUCAUACAGCUUCAAAGCCAAAGUUAUACCUGCCUUAGCAUAUGUUCUGCCAUAUGCUAACUAUUGCUUUUAGACUUGUUUUCUGUAAUGAGCAUUCUUUAAAAUGUCUUGUAUGUUGAAAACCUAGAUGAGACUUGUUACCUAGCUCUGUUUUCUUCUCAUUCUUCUGUUUGCUAAUAUUUUUGCACCUAUGGGGGUUUUCUUGUUUGUUUCCGUUGUUGGUUUUUUGGUGGUUUUUGCCAUUUUAGGAUAUGUUCUUUAGCUUUUGCCUCCCUCAUAAUGUAUUAGGCCAUCUUGCCCCCUUCCCAGUCUUUUUCUCUGAAGAUCACUGUGAUGUUCUUACAUCCAGAGGAAAUUACACUACUUCUUUUGUACGAAAAACAAAUUAGGAUUGUAAAUCCAGUGUUACCUGCUCUUUAACAGAAAAAUGUUCAAAGUCUAAAGAGCGUUCCUGUUUCCUUUCUUGUCUAAGUUUUUUUCUUUUUGCACUUAUUUAUGAAAUAGUCUUGCAUUACUUAAUUAAGUAUGGAUAUUGUGAGUUCCAAAUAUAUUUGAGCUUUUAUUGGAUCUUGGAUGUAUUUUCUUUAAGCAUGAGGCUGGUUUUGAAGAUGUAUGUCACAUUUUGUGAUAGGUUACUGAUUCAUUUAAAAUGGAACUUCUGGCACUGGCAAAACCCAAGAAUUUAGAGUAGACGAACUAGAUGGAAACUACCUGGCAUCCUAUGUGACUUCCUUCUUCCACCGAUGUCUAUAGUAUAUUCUGAGCUGGGGCACAACUUGUGGGACUUGGUGUGAUUUUUCUCUGAUGAAACUAAGUAGGGACUACAUUGCUACCUUAACUAUCUGAAAGCUAUGGUUUCAUUAGCUGUUGAAAGAGUUUAUUAUUUAUGGGCUUCGUAGCUGGAAAAAUAUGAUUUCAGUUAGCUUAUCUCCUGAAAUGGUAGUGAUUAGUGUCAACAAAGUGACUUCCUUCUAAAAACAGAGCUGAGAAAAGAAAAGGCAUUUGUGUAGAAAGUGACAUUCAACCACAGGAUCUGUUUUAUUUCAUCCAUCAUUUAUUGAGAAGGCCUGGAAAGGAGAAAUGAUUCAUGUGAAGAUAACCAGACAGGCUUUAUUUUAGAUUCCAUGAAAACAGUGAAACUUUACAUUAAAACAUUGCACAUCUGAGUGAGUGUUUCACCUUUAUCUUGAGUGACUUUUUUUAGCACAUCAUUUUCAUAUUUUAACAUGACUAGAAGCAUAAUCCAGAAAUUUGUUGUUAGCAGUAAUGCAUAUUGCUUCAAGAUAUGCUUUAGAAUCUCAACUUACCUUUCUUACAUUUUUUUAAAAAACAUCCGUUUGAAUGAAACAUGUUUGAUCUUGAAGCACAUUAAUUCUUUUCUCAUUCAUUUAGCCAUCCAGUCAUCAUAGAACAAGAUACUGUUUUAAUCAACCUUUUAUUGUGGGUACUGCACCUUUAAUGAAACUUGGGUUUUGUUUUCUUUUCCAUGUGUGUAUUUUCUAGGUAUUGUUAAAAUGGCCCUCACGCUGAAUGACUGCAUGCUGGCUAGAUUUGAAGGAUAACUGUCAUGCAUUUGAUAUCAUUCCUCAUAAAAGCAUUUUUAUUUAUAUUAAGUAAUUUUUUAAUGAAAGGAAGAACUAACUGCACAGUCUUGUUUGCUGUACCUUUGAACAGUCUGAUGGGUGUUUGCUAUGAUUAUAUGCAUAACGUAUUCACUUUUCUGUCUUUGGUCUGUUAAAUUUUUGAUCACCAGUACCAAAACCAGUACCAAAUAAAAUAAAUUGCCAUCUCUCAAAAGAUUAUUCUUGGCCAGGCGCAGUGGCUUACGCCUGUAAUCCCAGCACUUUGGGAGGUUAUCCCAUGUGGGGAAUCACCUGAGGCAGGUGAAUCACCUGAGAUCAGGAGUUUGAAACCAGCUGGCCAAAAUGAGGAAACCACAUCUCUACUGAAAAUACAAAAAUUAGCCAGGUGUGGUGGUGCACGCCUGUAAAUCCCAGCUACUUGGGAGGCUGAGGCAGGAGAAUCACUUGAACCUGGGAGGUGGAGGUUGCAGUGAGCCGAAAUUGUGCCACUGCACUCCAGUCUAGGUGACAGAGCGAGACUAUCUU
rnacentral:lncRNA from 1 species